UGACAGGUGUUUCUGGAUAUCGUGGAAAGUGUUAAUCUGCUUAUGUCUUCAAAAGGUAGUGUGCUCCGUUGUGAUGUAACUGGGAAAGUUCUCAUGAAAUGCUUCCUUUCUGGAAUGCCUGAUUUGAAGUUGGGGCUAAAUGAUAAAAUUGGCCUUGAGAAAGAGUCACAGCUUAAAUCCCGUCCAACUAAGAGUGGAAAAAGUAUUGAGCUCGAUGAUGUUACUUUCCACCAAUGUGUAAAUUUGACAAGAUUCAAUUCAGAAAA